CCUACGGGAGGCAGCAGUGGGGAAUAUUGCACAAUGGGCGAAAGCCUGAUGCAGCGACGCCGCGUGAGGGAUGAAGGAUUUCGGAUUGUAAAGCUCUAUCAGCAGGGAAGAAAAGUAAGUUACCUGACCAACAGUGAAUGGCUAAUAUCGAGAAAGCAGCCGCGGGAAUACGCCUGGGGCCAGGGUUAGCCGGAUUUACUGGGUGUAAAGGGAGCGUAGGUGGGUUGGCGAGUCAGUGGUGAAAGGCCUGGGCUCAACCCAGGGACUGCAUUUGAAACUGUAAGGCUGGAGUGUCGGAGAGGUAAGCGGAAUUCCUGGUGUAGCGGUGAAAUGCGUAGAUAUCAGGAGGAACAUCAGUGGCGAAGGCGGCUUACUGGACGACAACUGACGCUGAGGCUCGAAAGCGUGGGUAGCAAACAGGAUUAGAUACCCGAGUAGUC
rnacentral:rRNA from 1 species